UACGAAGGGGGCUAGCGUUGCUCGGAAUCACUGGGCGUAAAGCGCACGUAGGCGGAUUGCUAAGUCAGGGGUGAAAUCCUGGAGCUCAACUCCGGAACUGCCUUUGAUACUGGCGAUCUCGAGUCCGGGAGAGGUGAGUGGAACUGCGAGUGUAGAGGUGAAAUUCGUAGAUAUUCGCAAGAACACCAGUGGCGGAGGCGGCUCACUGGCCCGGUACUGACGCUGAGGUGCGAAAGCGUGGGGAGCAAACAGG
rnacentral:rRNA from 1 species